rnacentral:rRNA from 1 species
AGUCUUUUGAAGUUUUAUGAAAGAUGUUUUUUGCUCAGUGAUAUUAAACAGCCGCGGUAAUUUGACCGUGCGAAGGUAGCGUAAUCAUUUGCCUUGUAAUUUAAGGCUUGUAUGAAUGGGAGAACAAAGGCUUAUCUGUCUUAAUUGAGUUUUUGGAAGUUGUUUUUAUUGUGAAGAGACAGUAAUAAGGUAAGGGGACAAGAAGACCCUUUUGAGCUUUACUUUUUGUGAGAGUAUUUGUUUUUGCUGAAGUUUGGUUGGGGCGAUCGAGGAAGAUUUGUAUCUUCCUUUUUGUAGAUAUUUAGGAUCCAGAAUUUUUGAUUAAAAGAAUAAGUUACCAAAGGGAUAACAGCGUAAUUUUUUUUGUGAGUUCUUAUUAAAAAAAAAGAUUGCGACCUCGAUGUUGACUUAUGAUUUCCUUUAGGUGUAGUUGUUUAAAAGGUGGGUCUGUUCGACCUUUAAAAUUUUACGUGAGUUGAGUUCAGACCGGUGUAA